CAGAACAUCGACGGCCUCCUGCAGAUGUCCAGUGGAUGUGGAGAGCAGAACAUGGUGCGUUUCACCCCCAAUGCCUUCAUCACACAGUACCUGGAGGAGACAGGACAGCUGACCCAAGAGAUCAAACAGAAAGCUGUUGGCUUCCUGGAAAGUGGGUGCAGUGGAGGAAGGACUUGGGCUGAGCACUGCCAUUACCACAACCCUCAUUCGCUCGGGGGUGCAGCAGUCGGACCCAGUCUUGCAGAAAGCUCUGAAGUGCCUAAAGGAACUAGUCAGUGCUGAUCCUGGCAGUUCCAGCCUCUACA